UACGGGGGGGGCAAGCGUUGUUCGGAAUUACUGGGCGUAAAGGGCUCGUAGGCGGCCAACUAAGUCAUACGUGAAAUCCCUCGGCUUAACCGGGGAACUGCGUCUGAUACUGGAUGGCUUGAGUUCGGGAGAGGGAUGCGGAAUUCCAGGUGUAGCGGUGAAAUGCGUAGAUAUCUGGAGGAACACCGGUGGCGAAGGCGGCAUCCUGGACCGAUACUGACGCUGAGGAACGAAAGCCAGGGGAGCAAACGGG
rnacentral:rRNA from 1 species